AUGAGCCCCCAUCCCUGCCAGUGCCUGGGGGUGAAUCAGGCCCUGAACAGUGGUGCCUCCUCCCCGAAGCCUUCAGGGUUACUCCAGGUCUUCCCAUUGCCUGUGCUGUUCCCGGAGCUGCUGACCGUUGUCCCAGGGGUGCAACUGGGGGAGUACACCCAUCCCCAGAAGAACCCCAAAUCUCUGGCUGGCUGUCUCUUACCCAACUCCCAUCCCCAGCUCCAGCUGAGGGCAAGCGUGCUGCUGGGCUCUCCCGAGGAAAACCCAUGGUGCCGCCCUCAGGCCCCCGGCAGCUCCUCAACCUGGGCCCCAUCUCUGCCCCCAUCUUGGCUCCCCAGGCAUAUUUAAACUUUGCCCCUCCCACCCCCAUGCCUGGCGGAUCCCCUGGCACUGAGGCCCAGCCAGUGGCUCCAGCCAACGCACUUGGCUCCCGCAGCAAGUUAAAUCUAACCUAGCCCAGCUGUCUCUCCUCCGGCUCCCACCUGCCCCUCCCAUUCCCUGCAGGGAUGUGCCCACACCCUGCCCACCCUACACAGGCCCUCAGGAAGGGUGCAGAGGUUCCCUAGGGUCCCCCACUUUCCCACGCUAGGAAAGCCCUUUGCCUAGCAGCCUCUGGGGUGAGUGCCCUGCUUCUGGAGGCACCCCAGCGCCCAGGGUGAGGCCAGCAGAGUGCAGCAGGUUUUCAACAGGUAUUUCGAGAAGGAGCAGGAACCCACUUCCCAUCAGUCAGGGCGCAGCCAGGAAGAGGGAAACUCCAGGGCCAACACUGAAGUGGCCACUGCAGCACCACGCUGGGGCAUGGGGUCGGAGCACAGCGCUCGUGCCACAGGCAUGCCAGGGAAUGUGUACCAGGUGCUCUGUCUUGCAUCCGCGGCUGUCGGUUCUUCUGAGGCAGGGCAGCUAUGGGUCACUUCCGGAG